rnacentral:lncRNA from 1 species
GAAAACUGUAUGUGUGUUUGCCAAGAGACAGAAUAUCUAUGUAAGUAUACACGAAAGAAGCUGGUAAGAGUCAUUGACUCGGGGAGACCCGGAUAGCUCAGAACAAGUCCGACCAGACUACAUGCGACUCAGGACAACAAACAGCCUGCGUGCUGAACCCUCUGAAGCCGACGCUGAGCCACGGAGAACUGUCUCCCUAUCACCACGCACCAGAACUACUUCCAGCUUUGAUUUAUUGCACACAUCGCUUCUAUCUUACCAACCAGAACAUGAUAUAUAUGGAGAGAGCAGAGAAGUAUGGCAGGAGGAGAGAGAAUCAAAGGAUCACUAAACAGAACUUUCAAGACAGAGACCUCCGACGCUCUAUGUUAAGUAGUUUGUAUGCCUGUGAAUAAAAGCUCUCCCCACCCACCAAACUUGAAAAGGAUCUGCUUCACAUAAAGAAGAUCCUAUUUGAGCAGAAAUCAGUGUGGGUGUUGGGCGGGUAGGUGGGUUUGUAUUUGUUCGGGCACAGGGCUGAGGGGUGUCAGACUGACCUAUUCCAGGUGUGGAACAGCCGACUGGGCGGCCCUUAUCAGGGCUUAAGUUGCAGGUUGGCC